AUUGAACGCUAGCGGGAUGCCUUACACAUGCAAGUCGAACGGAGUGGCGAACGGGUGAGUAAUGGAUCGGAACGUGCCCAGUAGCGGGGGAUAACUACGCGAAAGCGUAGCUAAUACCGCAUACUCUUGGCGCGGCCGAUACCGGAUUAGCUAGCUGGUGGGGGAACGGCCCACAAAGGCGACGAACCGUAGCUGGUUUGAGAGGACGACCAGUCACACUGGAACUGAGACACGGUCCAGACUCCUACGGGAGGCAGCAGUGGGGAAUUUUGGACAAUGGGGGAAACCCUGAUCCAGCCAUCCCGCGUGUGCGAUGAAGGCCUUCGGGUUGUAAAGCACUUUUAGCAGGGAAGCGGUACCUGCAGAAUAAGCACCGGCUAACUACGUGCCAGCAGCCGCGGUAAUAC
rnacentral:rRNA from 1 species